rnacentral:rRNA from 1 species
UACGGGGGGGGCAAGCGUUGUUCGGAAUUACUGGGCGUAAAGGGCUCGUAGGUGGCCAAUUAAGUCAGACGUGAAAUCCCCAGGCUUAACCUGGGAACUGCGUCUGAUACUGGUUGGCUUGAAUUCGGGAGAGGGAUGCAGAAUUCCAGGUGUAGCGGUGAAAUGCGUAGAUAUCUGGAGGAUACCGGUGGCGAAGGCGGCAUCCUGGACCGAGAUUGACACUGAGGAGCGAAAGCCAGGGGAGCAAACGGG